AUAUUGACUCAGUUAAAAAAAUAUGAGUUGCUGGUCUCUCGUUGUAAAAGUCUUGCUUCAAGAACUUUUUUCAUGCAUUUUAGCUAAUUUAGUUAAAUUUGCUAAAGAAAAUUGGUGGAACAGAGCUGGUAAAAACCACUGCAUAUGUUAUGUCGCAACGUUACUAAUUUUUUAAUGUCAAAAAUAAAUAUGGAUGGUACUGGAAAUUUCGGAAACUUCCAUUCAGAAUAUCCUCUAUAUGUAAAGUUGUUCAGUGUAAUUCCACUUUUGAUUUAUGAAAAAACAUUUAAAAUGCUAUUUUACCUUUUUUUUGCGGUUACAAAUCAGGUUACGAAAUUAGACGAUCAGGAUACGAAUGUAGAAGAUGAAAAAGCGGUAGACGGUUUUUUUGGAAGAUUUUUGAUAAUGCAUAAACCAGAGAAAACAGUGAUCCAAUUUAUUUGUUUAUGAGUUUAUUAAUUUUAUUAAUAAUCUUUGACUUAAUCUUAAUGUAAACUUUUAUUUUCUGCUAAUGUAGUUAUAAAAAUAUUUAAUAGAAAUAGUUACUAUAAAAUUUCCACUGCAAAAA